AUCCUAAUUCCUGUAGUGCUAACGAUAGUCAGUCACAAUGUUCUUCUAAUCUACGGGGAAAAACAGAUUUAGCUGGAAAAUAUGUUGCUCUAUAAACGGUGAAUGAAAAACCACAAUAUCAAUGUUUAUUUUGUUUACAAGUUUUCAAUGGAGGUGGAAUUCACAGGAUGAAGAAACAUCUAGUAAAGAUUACUGGAGACGUGAAAAAAUGUCCUAAAGUUCCAUAUGAUGUAAAAUAACAGAUGGAAAGUUUGUUGAAAGAAAUUCAAACCAACAGAAAGAAAAGAAAAGUAAGUUUUGGUGAAGAGGGUGGUGAUGAGGUAGAGGAUGCAAUUGAUGAGGCAAUAGCUCAAGAAGAACAGAAGCAACAACGUACUUCGAGUCAGUAAGGAGUUGGAGGCGCUCCAAAGAAAAAAGCUAAAGUCAUUCCUCCUAUGUUUGCACCAAGAACAACUCCAGGAGCUCAAUCAAGUAUUAAAAGUGUUUUGCAAAACAAAGAGGCGAUACACGAGGUUGAUAAACGGUUUGCUCGGUGGCUUUUGGAUUGUAAAAUUUCGUUUAAUGUUGUGAUGACGCCAUUUUUCCAGAUAUUAUCAACUCAAGAUGGGACAAGCAUUUGAAGAAAGAUCUUCAUGCGGCAGCUUACUUCUUGAAUCCUAAAUUCUUUUUUAAUGAAAAUUAUAAAGAAGCACCUGAUGUCAUGCGAAGUUUGUUUGAUCUUGUUACCUUGUAUCGCAAGUGUAACAAUUUGGAUUCAGUUCAGGCAAUGAAAGAAAUACAUUUAUAUAGAGUUCGGAAGGAAAGUUUUGAUAGACAAGAAGCUAUUCGAGCUGCAUCUGAACUUAUGCCUGAUGAAUGAUGGAGGUUAUUCGGAGGCUUUGCUCAAUGUUUACAAAAAAUAGCUGUUCGCAUUCUUAGCCAAGCAUCUGCUUCUUUUGGGUGUGAGAGAAAUUGGAGUCUUUUUGACCAAAUUCAUACAAAAAAAAAGAAAUAGAUUGGAGCAUGAUAGUCUGAAUGACAUUGUUUAUGUUACCUAUAAUUUGCGUCUUAAAUCCAGGAAGGAAAAAGAAAAAAGAAAGCAAAAGACACAAUAUGAUCCAAUUGAUUAUGAAAGCAUCAGUCAAGUUGACUUUUGGGUGACUGAAGAGGUUGUAAAAAAAGUGAAUGUCCUAAAGUUCCAUAUGAUGUAAAAUAACAGAUGGAAAGUUUGUUGAAAGAAAUUCAAACCAACAGAAAGAAAAGAAAAGUAAGUUUUGGUGAAGAGGGUGGUGAUGAGGUAGAGGAUGCAAUUGAUGAGGCAAUAGCUCAAGAAGAACAGAAGCAACAACGUACUUCGAGUCAGUAAGGAGUUGGAGGCGCUCCAAAGAAAAAAGCUAAAGUCAUUCCUCCUAUGUUUGCACCAAGAACAACUCCAGGAGCUCAAUCAAGUAUUAAAAGUGUUUUGCAAAACAAAGAGGCGAUACACGAGGUUGAUAAACGGUUUGCUCGGUGGCUUUUGGAUUGUAAAAUUUCGUUUAAUGUUGUGAUGACGCCAUUUUUCCAGAUAUUAUCAACUCAAGAUGGGACAAGCAUUUGAAGAAAGAUCUUCAUGCGGCAGCUUACUUCUUGAAUCCUAAAUUCUUUUUUAAUGAAAAUUAUAAAGAAGCACCUGAUGUCAUGCGAAGUUUGUUUGAUCUUGUUACCUUGUAUCGCAAGUGUAACAAUUUGGAUUCAGUUCAGGCAAUGAAAGAAAUACAUUUAUAUAGAGUUCGGAAGGAAAGUUUUGAUAGACAAGAAGCUAUUCGAGCUGCAUCUGAACUUAUGCCUGAUGAAUGAUGGAGGUUAUUCGGAGGCUUUGCUCAAUGUUUACAAAAAAUAGCUGUUCGCAUUCUUAGCCAAGCAUCUGCUUCUUUUGGGUGUGAGAGAAAUUGGAGUCUUUUUGACCAAAUUCAUACAAAAAAAAAGAAAUAGAUUGGAGCAUGAUAGUCUGAAUGACAUUGUUUAUGUUACCUAUAAUUUGCGUCUUAAAUCCAGGAAGGAAAAAGAAAAAAGAAAGCAAAAGACACAAUAUGAUCCAAUUGAUUAUGAAAGCAUCAGUCAAGUUGACUUUUGGGUGACUGAAGAGGUUGUAAAAAAAGUGACUGAUCUUCCUAGUAAUGUGGAUGACUUAUUGCGUGAAAUUGAUGCUGAUUUAUAUCAAAGUGGCAGUGGUAGUAGUGGUCUUUGUGCUGCAUCUCUUGAUUCUUCUGCUCAACAAAGUGGGA